rnacentral:rRNA from 1 species
GACGAACGCUGGCGGCGUGCCUAAUACAUGCAAGUAGAACGCAGUUGCGAACGGGUGAGUAACGCGUAGGUAACUGCCUCUUAGCGUGGGAUAACUUUUGGAAACGGUAGCUAAUACCGCAUACUGUGAGGUGGACCUGCGUUGUCUUAGCUAGGUGGUGAGGUAAAGGCUCAACAAGGCGACGAGACAUAGCCGACCUGAGAGGGUGAUCGGGCAAACGUGGACUGAGACACCGCUCAGACCCCUACGGGGGGCAGCAGGAGGGAAUCCUCCGCAAUGGGCGGAAGGCUGACCGAGCAACGCCGCGGGAGGGAAGAAGGUGUUCGGAUCGGAAAGCUCCUUUGUUAGAGAAGCGGUAACUAACCAGAAAGGGACGGCUAACUACGUGCCAGCCGCCGCGGUAAUUC